UAUUAAAGUAAUCAGACCAGAUAUUUUAAUAUAUUCUACUGCUUCACUUAAAGAAAAACAUUUUAAACUUCUUCAACUACCACAAAAAUACAUUUAAAGAGCUGAAGCAAGUCACAAAUUGUUUCUUCAUGGGAAAUUACCAUCUAGUUUGUAGUGCUACACUGCUACUUGCAAGUCUUAAGUAUCUGUCUCCAUAGUAACGUAUCUGUCUCCAUAGCAACUUAGGUAACAUAACUAAAGUCUACUGUCUACUGCACCUAUGAAAGUUAGUCGGUGUGUUAGUGCUUAUGAAUGGCUUCUGAGGACCAAGGUUUGCAGAACAGAGCUCUGGUGACCAGCUCAGGGAAGAGGAAGGAGAAACUCCGUCACAGUGUAGUGGCAAGGCCAGUCCACCUCAGCCCUGCAGUAUCUACAGAUACCAAUGGAACAGUGGCAGUUCCCAAGUGGAUACACAGUCACACACAGAGGCCUGGACAAAAGGUCAAGGACCUCAUCGGCCCUGAGAGAGAGGCAGCACUGAAAGCUAUACAGACAGGUGUGUAUGUGGGCUGGAGAUGUCCAGACUUGACCUGGGAUUGUUUUAGAGUGGGUGACUCCUCCAUGUGCUUCUGUGGACAUCACCUGUAUGAGCAUGGGAAAUACACAGGCUCCAGUGUACGUGUGCCUUGCUUGGUCCCGUCCUGUAGCUGCGGGGCCUUUGCCUUCAUUCCGUCCCGUCCAGAAGAGGUGGGGGAGCCAUGGGUUAGAGGGAGACCUGGGUUUGACUCCCAGGUCUGGAGGGCCCUCUGUCGGUGCAAACACCCCCACCAGCAACACUCUCCCAGGGCAGGACACUCCUGCAGGGUGGGAGAUCACGGGGUCCAGGAACUGUUCCCGAGGAAGCAGUAUAUCCUUUGUGUCGGGCUCUUCAGAGUCUUGAAUUUUAAAAAAGGAUUCUGCUAGUCCGUGGAUGUCGCUGUGUUAUCUUCCAGUCCAGCUUCCUGUGUGCUUCAUGUGACCAGCACUGGGAGAAGCAUGAGACGUUCUUCGAAACUGAGCAGUCCAGGAGAAAGCAGGGCCUGCCAUACGGAGACGCAUACAUGCCUUUUGCAGAGGUCCCCACCCUGAGAAAUGCUGUUUUAACAGGCAGAUUGAAGGACACCUAUGACUUGUCAGACAGCACAAGAAAGGCUGUUUAAUCAUCAUCAUUCAAGGGGGGGGGGGGGUCUGGAAUCAACUUUAAACUAAUGACAUGCACAUUACUGCUUAUUAUCCAUUUUGUCUACAAAAACAUAUUUACAAAAAAUGACACAAGCCAGAUACAAAUGAACAACAACUUACAGACACACACAAACAAUGUCUACAUCUCAUCUCCCCAGACCCGCAUACUCACACCUCCAUCCCUAGUGCCUCCAUUAUUGUUUGCCACUUGGCCUUAAAUUGUGCCAAUUCGUUUUUCUCGGUCGCCCAUGCUAUUUCAAUAUUUAAAUAAGAAAUAAUUAAAACAGAUUAAAAGUAUGUUUACAUUGUAAUUCUUCUGACAGCCAACUUUCUAGCUCCACCCAUAACUUCCGGACUUUAUAGUAUUCCCAGAAAGUAUGGAUUAUUGAGUCAUUGUUAGUUGACUCAUUGUUAAUUUUCAGAAUUUUGUCUCUUGUAUAAUUAAUUCUAUACUUUAGUUUAUACUGGAUUAAGCAUCAAUUUUCAUUAACUUGAAUUAUGUUAUUUAUGUUCCAACAUUCCUCCAUCUUGUGCUGAUAUCAGUUCUUUUUUAGUCUUGAUUCCAAUAGUUUAAAAAAAUUCUAAGAGAUUGUCAGUUGGAUAGGCUCUCUGCAAGGUUUUGUAUAUCUUACCUAUCAUAUGAACAUCAUUUUCUGACUCAAAUAUGGUUCCCUCAAGGUUGCGCUGAUGUCUAAAAGAUGUCAAAUAAACAUUUUGUGACGUGUAA